CACAUCGUCCGGCAGUUUUCCGGAGCAAUGGAUCGGAGAGCAGGGUAGACGAGCUGAAAGUUGAUCAAUCCAACACUCAAAGAAUUUCAGCUUCAAGCUCUGUCAAUGAUGCAUCAAUUACUGAACCAUAUCCCAGAUGAAGGAAGAAAUAGGCCAAUUAUGGAAGAAAAUAUCUAGUUCAUCAUCAGCAUUAUGUUGUAGAUUUUGAAGCAUGAUUCAUUUACCAGGAAGGUAUCUAAAUUUGCCCACUAUUGUUGGAAAUUAGGGGAUCGUUUCAAUGUUUGCUGCUUCACACUAAUUGACUUCUUCCACCUUAGGGGUACAAGGAUGUGCUUGGAAGAAAAUGCAAGUUGUUGUCGCUCUUUAGAUAUUUUUUAAAAAUAGAAGAGCAAUUUUAUUUAUGAACAUUAAUCCCCAGCUGAUCGAACAAACAGUAUGUCUUGAACUUUUACCAUUUGU
rnacentral:lncRNA from 1 species